rnacentral:rRNA from 1 species
UACGAGGGGGGCAAGCGUUGUUCGGAAUUAUUGGGCGUAAAGGGUGCGUAGGCGGUCUGAUAAGUCAUCUGUGAAAUCUAUGGGCUCAACCCAUAGUCUGCAGGCGAAACUGUCGGGCUUGAGUAUGGGAGAGGUGAGUGGAAUUUCCGGUGUAGCGGUGAAAUGCGUAGAUAUCGGAAGGAACACCUGUGGCGAAAGCGGCUCACUGGACCAUUACUGACGCUGAGGCGCGAAAGCGUGGGGAGCAAACAGG